rnacentral:rRNA from 1 species
AUACCCAGGAGGAUCAAUUGGAGGGCAAGUCUGGUGCCAGCAGCCGCGGUAAUUCCAGCUGCAAUGGCGGAUGUUGAUUCUGCUGCAGUUAAAAAGCUCGUAGUUGAAUUUUGGCCUUUGUUUCUUGCGGCUUUGUAUCGCGGUGUUAAAACCGUGGUGCGGGCAUGUUGGGAGCGGGGCUUUUGCGCGGGGAGCCUUCGUUUGGUUUACUCCAAGCGUUGGGGAUCUGCGCCUUUUACUGUGAGGAAAUCUAGGUGCUCAAAGCGGGCUUUACGCUCGAAAGCUUCAGCACGGAAUGAUAAGAUACGACUCGGUCGGUCUUGUUGGUUUAUCGAACGAGUAAUGGUUAACAGGAACAGUUGGGGGAAUUCGUAUUGGCAUGUCAGAGGUGAAAUUCUUGGAUUAUGUCAGGACGAACGACUGCGAAAGCAUUCACCAAGGAUGUUUUCAUUAAUCAAGAACGAAAGUUGGGGGAUCGAAGAUGAUUAGAUACCAUCGUAGUCUCAACCGUAAACGAUGCCGACUGUCAAUCGUCACGCUUUUUUUUAAAGAGGCGUGGCGGCGGGCGAUGAGAAAUCGAAGUCUUUGGGUUCUGGGGGGAGUAUGGUCGCAAGACUGAAACUUAAAGGAAUUGACGGAAGGGCACACCAGAGGUGGAGCUUGCGGCUUAAUUUGACACAACACGGGAAAACUUACCAGGUCCGGACUUCAAAAGGAUUGACAGAUUGAAAGCUCUUUCAUGAUCUGAAGGGUGGUGGUGCAUGGCCGUUCGUAGUUGGUGGAGUGAUUUGUCUGGUUAAUUCCGUUAACGAACGAGACCUCGGCCUGCUAAAUAGUAGACCUUAUCUCGCGAUAGGUGUACACUUCUUAGAGGGACUUUGUGUUUUUAAUGCAAGGAAGUUCGAGGCAAUAACAGGUCUGUGAUGCCCUUAGAUGUUCUGGGCCGCACGCGUGCUACAAUGAGUGGAUCAAUAGGUUUUGUGCUUCUCCGAAAGGAGUCGCUAAUCCCGAAUACCACUCGUGAUGGGGCUUGAUUUUUGCAAUUAUGAAUCACCAACGAGGAAUCUCUAGUAAGCGUAAAUCAUCAGUUUGCGCUGAUUACGUCCCUGCCCUUUGUACACACCGCCCGUCGCACCUACCGAUUGCGCGCUUGAAUGAAAUCUCGGGAGCCGAAAUACUGGGCCGUUAAAAGUUUGGUGAUUUGGUGAACUUGAUUGAAUUCAACUGCGUAGAGGAAGGUGAAGUCGU